rnacentral:lncRNA from 1 species
UCUAAUAAAAUCAAACGUCAGAUGUUCUUCCCAAAACCGGUCUCGGAUCAAUCGUCUAACGAAUGUUUGUUGAUCGGCGCUCUACGUUCCCCGGAGCGUCAUGGCGGAUGAGACGCCACUCUCGUCACGGAUGUAUCCUCCGGUGAUUUCUCUCAACUGCCCAGAUGCGUUUGCGCCUUUGUUUUGGCUAGGGUUUCAAGUUUCAACGGACGACGAUAGAUGAGAAACAACUACAUAAGCAGAAUUCCUAGUAUUUGCGCUGCUUCAUCAUCUCGCCAGCGGGGAGAACCGAAUAUUGGGGAGUUUGUGUUGGAGAAUUGAUUUGGUAAUUCUAUUAUUUCCUUCUUUUUUUAGUUGUUUCUUGCUCGCCCACUAGAGUUUAGAAAUUUGAACAAUUGCUUUGUUGUUCCUUCUAUAAUAUUUUAUGUUUUUUAUUGCUAGAAUUGAGAAUUUUGAUUUUCGAUAUUAGAUACAAAGUUGCUUCCUUAAGCAGGCAACUCGCAACAUGUUUAAUAUUUCCAAUCUUGGGUAACAUGACAAUUGAUAUGGGCUAGGUGUGUGAAUGUUUUCUUAUGGGUUAUGUGUAACCUACCCCAAAUUGAGAGCUACACGCAAAACGAGAAUCGAUACGGGGUGAAAAUGGAAAAGUUUGAUAGUGUUUUGACUUAUGAUGAUUAAGCAGAUCGAGGAUCAAGCAGGUCAAGCUCGCCCUCGUAAAGAGCGUUGAAGGGCCAUUGGAGUAUUCUAAAGACUAACUUCUACGAUGAGAGAGACAGAGGUCUCCGCUUAAUUCGGCGGAGCGUGCUUUAUUGUCAUAGGAGACUAUGGAAUUGAGGGAUUUUGUGCGUCUGGAUAACUAUGUUUCAUUUUCAGGAUCUAUUAUCUAGGUUUUCAAGGUUGGUUUGUCUAUAAUAUACAUUGCAAAGAAACCUACUUUUUUCUUCAUAUCUUCUUCUAUCUCUUUUUCUUUGUUCGUUUUUUUCAUAGACAAAAUCCGAAGUAAUCUAAAUCAUGGUAAUAGAAAUCAAAGUACUCCAUAGGAACAACUUGUGUAAUCAUAAAACGGUGAUACACUAUUAUUUUGACUAAUUUAGUUCAUAAGUUCCAGCCCAUGGCUUAUUUCUCUAAAUUUUGUUUAUUUUAGUUUUGAUUAAUUUGAUAUCUUGUUGAAAAUUAGCCAUAACUUAAUAUCUUCAUAUAAUUAUAUCUUCAUAAUAGAUGGCAUUAACAUCAAAUGGUUGGCAUUGGAUAAUAGCAAUAUCCUAUUCAUGAGAAUGGAGAAAUGAUGCUUAAACAUUCUAUUAUUGACUUAGAUGAAUUUUGCAGUUGUGUACGUGAGAUUUUUUUUGGAAAACAGAAAUUUGCAGAAGCCAGCAGUAUACAAGUGAGCUUUAGAAAUAUAUAUGGUGAUCAUUAUUUGCAUUUUUGUGUUUGAGUGGUAUUUUAGGCAAAAAUAUAAAGCUUAAGUUCAUGGAUAAGAUGUUGUCUUCUAAAGUAUCUUAAUUAUUUUUCUUUUCUCUUACUUUUAGUGUUAUAUAUUUUCAAAAGAUAACCAGAAAGUGAUUGAAUUAGGGGUGGUAAACGAGCCGAGCCGGCUCGCGAACUCGACGAGCCGGCUCGAAAAAAGCUCGAACUCGAGCUCGGGUUUUUCGAGCUCGAGCUCGAGCUCGAGCCUAAAAUUAGUUGUUCGACAGCUCGCGAGCCGGCUCGCGAGCUGCCUUCUUUUUUUUUUUUUUUUUUUUCUUUAUAUAUAUAUAUAUAUAUAUAUAUAUAUAUAUAUAUAUAUAUAUAUAUAUAUAUAUAUAUAUAUAUUAUUCUUAUUCUUCUUCUUCUUCUUAUUAUUAUUAUUAUUAACUAAAUAGUAAAUAGUCUAUAAUAAUAAAUAUAUCUAGUAUUUAAAUAGAAACAAAUCUAUAUUACUUAAAUAAUUCAUAAUAAUAUAAAAUAUAAUAAUAAUAAUAGAAAAAAUAAAAAAUAUAUAUAACUAGAGUUCAUUAUUUAUUUUAUAAUUUUUUUUUAUUUUCCUAUGAAUAAUUUUUGAUAAAAAAAUGAUUUUAAUAAAAAAAUGAUUUUAAUUAAAAAAAAAAAAAAAUUAAAUAAAAAAAAAAAAAAAAAAAAAAAAAAAUUAAAUAAGCUCGAGCUCGAGCUCGAGCUCGAGCCAAAAAAAAUUGGCUCGAUGAGCUCGAGCUCGAGCUCGAGCUGGGCAACAUGGGCUCGAGCUCGAGCUCGAGCUGGCCAAAAGAGCCGAGCUCGGCUCGUUCCCACCCCUAGAUUGAAUUUGUUAUUUGUUGUUGAUUAUUUGUGGUGCAUUGACAGGUGGAGGAGGAUAGGAGGUUCAACAAAAGCUAGAGUGGAGUGCAAACUGGAGUUUGGAUUUGUACAGAGCUUUGAAAAAUUAAGCAAGAAUAUAUAUUUGGUUAUUUCGCAUUAGUGGACAGUGAUUUUCAAUUUCUUAGGACAGCUACUUUUUGUGCUAGAAUUUUCAAUUAAUACAACUCGAUCAUGUACUCCAAGUUUGUCAUGUAAGUUCACAGUGUAUUAAGUAAGUUGAAACACGAGCAAUCAUUUAAAAAGUGUUUUUAGCAAUAUGGC